rnacentral:tRNA from 1 species
CGGGGCGUAGCGUAGUUUGGUUUAGCGCGUCUGCUUUGGGAGCAGAAGGUCGGUGGUUCAAAUCCACUCGCCCCGACCA